rnacentral:rRNA from 1 species
GACUAGAGUUUGAUCCUGGCUCAGGAUGAACGCUGGCGGCGUGCUUAAUACAUGCAAGUCGAACGGAGACUGCAGCGAUGUAGUCUUAGUGGCGAACGGGUGAGUAACGCGUUGGUGACCUGCCCUAAAGCGAGGGAUAACAGUUCGAAAGGACUGCUAAUACCGCAUGAGGUUACAGGCGUUAGAGAACUGUAACGAAAGGCGCGAGCCGAUUUAGGAGGGACCUGCGUCCCAUCAGCUAGUUGGUAGGGUAACGGCCUACCAAGGCGACGACGGGUAGGGGGCCUGAGAGGGUGACCCCCCACACUGGCACUGAAACACGGGCCAGACACCUACGGGUGGCAGCAGUAGGGAAUAUUGCACAAUGGGCGAAAGCCUGAUGCAGCAACGCCGCGUGCACGAUGAAGGCCUUCGGGUCGUAAAGUGCUUUUCGGGGAGACGAGGAAGGACGGUAUCCCCGGAAUAAGGAUCGGCUAACUAC